UUGCUUGGCUUGUGCCCAGGUUGCUACUCUGUCAGAACAUUCCAUCAGUACAUUUCCUUUCUUCAUUACUAUGAAACCAUGUGGAAGCAUGGA